AUGCAAAUGUAUGCCUCCCUUUUUCCAUGGUGCCGUGUCUUCUCAUCUCAUUUUGCCCCGGUUCACCUGCACGCACGCACGCACGACGAGCGGAAACCGGUGGGACGUCGCUGUGGAGUUGUUAACGAGUGGUCGCUGCUCCUUGAUUUGACUAGGCCGGAGCACGAUCGCCAAGAUCAGCUGCUCGCCACGAAAUUGGCCGUCAAUUCGAGGAGGAAUCCUCGCAGCUUUGGCUUCUUCUCCGCAUUUCUGAUUCCAUCCUCUCGCAUUGCUUUCCGUCUCGACUGUGUGUGUUCCAAUGGCGACUCGCGUCGCUUCCUGGGCCCCUCGGCUCGAGUGGCUGCUGACGCAAUGCGGAUCCAGACAUCGCAUCAGCAGCGUUGGGUGCGUGCGUGCGUGCGUGGCGGUCAAUGGCGGCCGGCCUCGCUAGUCGGUGUCAGUGAGGUCAAACUGGUCCGUGCCGGAGCGGGACAGCACGCGGCGGGCGGUCCCGGAGCGGGAGACCGGCGCCGUCGAGCAGGCCGCGAGCGCGCGCUCCAGGGCGUCCACCACCUCGGUCAUGGACGGGCGCUCGCAGCCGACGGGGCCCACGCAGUCGGCGGCGAGGUAGCCGACGUAGGCCAGCGCCUCGGCCUCGUGCGGCGUCGGAGCGGGGAGGCGCGGGUCGAGCACGCGCGCGACGUCGUCGGCGAGGAUGUGCGGCACGGUGAAGUCCACCACGUUCUUGGGGGUCACGCUCUCGGCGUACCGCUGCACGACGCGGCAGCCGGACAUGAGCUCCAGCAGCACCACGCCGAAGCUGUACACGUCGCUCUUGUCCGUCAGGUGCUGCAGCCUGUAGUACUCUGGGUCCAUGUACCCCACCGUGCCGCCGGUGUAGAUCGUCCGCUGCUGCUGCUGCUCCUGCUGCUGCGGGUUGUCCUCGCAGUCGCCGGCGGGGUCCAGGACCGAGGACAGCCCGAAGUCGGCGAUCUUGGCCGUCCACGAGUCGUCCAUGAGGAUGUUGGCGGACUUGAUGUCGCGGUGGAUGAUGGGCGGCACGGCGUAGACGUGCAUGUACUCGAUGCCGCGCGCGGCGCCCAGCGCGAUGGUGAGCCGCCCGCGCCACGACAGCACCGGCGCCGCCAUGGGGCUGCGGUCGUGGAGCUGGUCGUGGAGGGUGCCGUUCAUCAUGAACUCGUACACCAGCACGCGCUCGCCGGACUCGGCGCAGCACCCCAGCAAGCACACGAUGUUCUUGUGGUUGGCGCGCGCCAGAGCAAUCAGCUCCGAGUUGAAGGCUGUCUCGCGGUCGCGCCGGCGCGCCGGCCGCGCCGCCGAGCUCGACGACUUGGCGUGAUCCUCGGCACGUUUUAUCGCCACCUCCCGCCCGUCCGGGAGCGUGCCGCGGUACACCGACCCGAAGCUCCCUGA
rnacentral:rRNA from 1 species